CACACAAGCCCAGCGACCACGACGACGCCGAGCCAGACCUAAUACCCAAUAAUUACUGUGAAUCAUCGAGCGCGCCGGCUCGCAACACGCCCUCCUCGCUGUCAGCACCGCUCGCCGCGCCGCUCGUCGUGCCGCUCGCCACGCCGCUUGCUACGCCCGUGAGCACGUGGGCGCCGCGCAGCGCGUCGGGCUCGCUGCGCGCCGCGGACCUCAACGUAGACGCCAUCAAGGAGAAGCUGCUGGACAAUCGGAUCCCUGAAUCCUGCGUCUAGUGCGCGCGCCGCCGGUGGAACGCCGCGGGCACAUCGCGAUCACAUCGCUUCUACGUCGCGUGAAUGUCGCGGAAUUCGGCUUGUUUUGUAUCCAAAACACUGUCCUAUGUAAAUUACAUGUAGAUAGAGCCCUUUACCGAUGAGGUUAUUCGUCACGACUCUUCCUCCCCCCUUACACUACCGAGUAUCCGAUUUUGCCAAAUUCUCCAAUUCGAUCCAUCCCUGAAGUAAAUCUUUUUGAUUAAAUGAAGCUGUUGUUGCGGAAUUGGAUACUCUCGACGUGAUUUUGUAAAAAUCGAAGACUUUAAACUGUAAUUUUGUUUUAAAAACUCUUUGUGAUGUAAAUAAUAGGUUGUAAGCGACUGAUUCUUUGCCACUUUUUUACAUGUCUAAGAACUCUAGAUAAUAUUAUUAGUUAAUUAAUGAAACAUCAUGUGAAUGGAAUCGUCGUGAUCUGUAUAAAUAUUUAAUAUUUUUUUUUUGUAAAUAGAGUUUGUACUUGACUUUGAUAGUUUAAGUCGGCUCGAGAAAGUCGCCAAUAGACAAAGUGAUGUCGGUAGAGGCGCAGACAGACAGCUCUCCUUACAAUUUGUCUUCAGCUAAAGAAGUAAGAAAUUCUUUCCUUUCACCGCAAACGUUAAUGGCUGGGGGUCAUGUUACAACUACACCCGUUUCGUUAUGUUGCACAAGGCGACUGUGUUAACUAUGUACAAAAAUCAAAUAUUUACCUUGACCUCAUACAGACUUAUACAUAUUAGUAUAUAGCUAUGUGUACAUACAUAUCGUGUCAAGUAUGGAGACAAAGUGUUGGCUUUACAAUGGUGUCCAACACUCAGACUCGAGCAGUAACAUGUUAAAGUUGUCCAAAGUAUUCAGAUUAAAUAUGAAUUUGUUUGACAUAUCAUGUUGUUUCCAUACGUUGAAUAUUGAAGUGGCUGCGUUUUUUCACGCAGACCGCAGACACACAUAUCGUUGUCAAUCAUAUCAAGACGUAGGCGCAGGAGCAGGCGAAGGCGAAGGCGCUCUCGAGGCACGAUCGAUGUCGACCGACUGAUCUUGGUGGGAAUAGCGAAUUAAAACUAUCCUUUAGGUAAUUUAAUUUGUAAGUAAUAAGUGAUUUGUUAUUAUAAAGUUUAAACAAACUCAAAGAGUUCGCCCUACUGUUGACUUAUUUAUUUUUGAAGAGAAUAAAGGUUGUCUUG